rnacentral:rRNA from 1 species
UUAAGCAUAUCAAUAAGCGGAGGAAAAGAAACUAACAAGGAUUCCCCUAGUAACUGCGAGUGAAGCGGGAAAAGCUCAAAUUUAAAAUCUGGCAGAUGUUUGUCUGUCCGAGUUGUAACCUAGAGAAGUGUAACCUGUGCUGGACCGUGUACAAGUCUCCUGGAAUGGAGCAUCAUAGAGGGUGAGAAUCCCGUCUUUGACAUGGACUACCAGUGCACUGUGGUUGCGCACUCAACGAGUCGAGUUGUUUGGGAAUGCAGCUCUAAAUGGGUGGUAAAUUCCAUCUAAAGCUAAAUAUUGGCGAGAGACCGAUAGCGAACAAGUACCGUGAGGGAAAGAUGAAAAGAACUUUGGAAAGAGAGUUAAACAGUAUGUGAAAUUGUUGAAAGGGAAACACUUGAAGUCAGCUGCAUUGGCUGGGGAUCAAGCCAGCUUAUUUGCUGGGUGUACUUCCUGGUUGAUGGGCCAACAUCAGUUUUGACCAUCAGAGAAAGGCUAAGGGAAUGUGGCACCUUUAUAGGUGUGUUAUAGCCCUUGGUUGUAUGUGGUGGAUGGGACUGAGGAUAGCAGCGUGCCGCAAGGCCGGGUUUCGACCACGUUCACGCUUUGGAUGUUGGCAUAAUGGCUUUAAGUGACCCGUCUUGAAACACGGACC